ensembl:lncRNA
AGAAGAAUGUGUUGCUGUGGGUCGAGGAGUAGGCAGACUUAACUGAGUUGAUACAUCUCCACGUGUGGAGGUGCUGGCUCUACCACUAUCACUAGCAGGCCGCUAGUUUCUAGAAGCUCCGCUACAGCUAGCUCCACAGUUGGGUGCACAGUUCACAUAUGCUGGUGUAGGUUGUGCGUAGAACCGGCUUUAUAUGAGAAUAUGUUUUGGAAAAUUCUGCACUAUGCUCUAACAUUGUCUACAUUAUUAGAAUGCAUCCAAAUGCUACUGUGCUUCCGACUCAUUUUCCAGCUGUUUUUUUCACAGCUGUCCUUCCUCUCUCUCCUCGGCUGCUAAGUGUGUGACUGUGAGUGAGUUGGCUCGGUGUGUCUGAUUGACAGGAACAACAGGCGUACAGAGGAGACACUCCCACACACAGCAACUCUACAGACAUGUCAGACUCCGAGACCGCCGCUCCGGCUGAGGCCCCCGUCCCUGCCGCAUGUGAAAGCAUCAAGGUGGACCUGGACAAAUGUGUGAAGGAGGGCGGUGACUGUAAGGAUCUGAUGGAGGCGUUUGCAGCCUGUCUGAAGAGUGCGGCGGAGGCGUCGUGAGGAGGAGCUAGGCUCACAGGAAAUGUCCACUGCAUUGAGUCCUCCAUGUUUACCAGUAUUCCCUUCUGCACAACGAGCACUGGGCUGAAUGAUACUGGCGGUGUUUGGCGCCUGGCAGAAACCCUCCACCUCUUACCUACCCCCCCCUCGAAGCUUAAAUGGUGUCUUCCGAUUUGUAUCCCCUGCUCUGCUCCCACCGUGGCUGAGUACAUCCAUUGGUAGACAAUUCCCAGAUAGCCCAUGGGUUUUAUGUAAGUUGUCCACUUAAGAUGCAUACAUUUAAAAUGGAAUAAUAAACUCUAAAAGAAAUUGGUAUAACAUUUUG